rnacentral:misc_RNA from 1 species
GAUGAAGAAGCAGCGAAAUGCGAUAAGUAAUGUGAAUCGCAGAAUUCAGUGAAUCAUCGAAUCUUUGAACGCACAUUGCGCCCGUCAGUAUUCUGGCGGGCAUGCCUGUUCGAGCGUCAUUACGCCCCUCAAGUCCCCUGUGGACUUGGUGUUGGGGAUCGGCGAGGCUGGUUUUCCAGCACAGCCGUCCCUUAAAUUAAUUGGCGGUCUCGCCGUGGCCCUCCUCUGCGCAGUAGUAAAACACUCGCAACAGGAGCCCGGCGCGGUCCACUGCCGUAAAACCCCCCAACUUUUUAUAGUUGACCUCGAAUCAGGUAGGACUACCCGCUGAACUUAAGCAUAUCAAUAAGCGGAGGA